GCGUUGUCCGGAAUCAUUGGGCGUAAAGCGCGUGUAGGCGGCUGAGUAAGUCUGCUCUGAAAGCCCGGGGCUCAACCCUGGGAGGCGGGUGGAUACUGCUCAGCUCGAGUCCGGAAGAGGAGUGUGGAAUUCCUGGUGUAGCGGUGAAAUGCGCAGAUAUCAGGAGGAACACCAACGGCGAAGGCAGCACUCUGGGACGGUACUGACGCUGAGACGCGAAAGCGUG
rnacentral:rRNA from 1 species